rnacentral:rRNA from 1 species
CCUACGGGUGGCUGCAGUGGGGGAUAUUGCACAAUGGGGGGAACCCUGAUGCAGCGACGCCGCGUGGGUGAAGAAGCGCCUCGGCGCGUAAAGCCCUGUCAGCAGGGAAGAACGUGACGGUACCUGAAGAAGAAGCCCCGGCCAACUACGUGCCAGCAGCCGCGGGAAUACGGAGGGUGCAAGCGGUAUCCGGAAUUACUGGGUGUAAAGGGGGCGCAGGCGGCGAUGCAAGACAGGAGUGAAAGCCCCGGGGCCAACCCCGGGACUGCUCUUGGAACUGCGUGGCUGGAGUGCAGGAGGGGCAGGCGGAAUUCCAGGUGUAGCGGUGAAAUGCGUAGAUAUCAGGAGGAACAUCGGUGGCGAAGGCGGCCUGCUGGACUGCAACUGACGUUGAGGCCCGAAAGCGUGGGGAGCAAACAGGAUUAGAUACCCUAGUAGUC